rnacentral:tRNA from 1 species
CCUCUGGUAGCUCAGUUGGUAGAGCGGUGGACUGUAGAUCCAUAGGUCGCUGGUUCAAAUCCGGACCAGAGGA